rnacentral:lncRNA from 1 species
CUGGGGUUGCCCCAGUUGGUAGAAUUAAUAUCUAGGCUAAAGGUCAAGGGCGGGGAAAACUUGUCAACACGCCCUCGGCAUCACCACCACCUGUCAACACACACACACCUCGGUGGACUCCUGAACUGAGGCUUCCCAAAUCCUGGUUCUAAUCUUCAAACCUCUGUUGGAAAUGGAAAAAAAAAAAUCGUAUUUGCCCAGUUUUUCUCCCUGGUCCUGACCUGACUUUCGUCUUCGGAGCCAUUCUAGUUCAGUCUAAAGAAAUUGAAGUCUGAUCUGUCACAUCAUGGUUAACAUUCAUAUGUUGACCAAGUCACCCAAGUGUAUCUGGAGCCAGUUUUUCUGCGUUGUCUAAAAUUAAGGGCUGGGCGUGGUGGCUCAAGCCUGUAAUCCCAGCACUCUGGGAGGCUGAGGCUGGUCUCAAACUCCUGGCCUCAAGUGAUCCUCCUACCUCAGCCUCCCAAAGUGCUGGGAUUAUAGG